GACGAACGCUGGCGGCGUGCCUAAUACAUGCAAGUCGAACGCAGUGGGGACGGGUGAGUAACACGUGGGUAACCUCCCAUCAGCUGGGAUAACACUUGGAAACAGGUGCUAAACCGAUACUGAUGGAUGGAUCCGCGGGGCAUUGGCUAGUGGGUGAGGUAACGGCUCACCAAGGCCACGAUGCAUAGCCGACCUGAGAGGGUGAUCGGCCACACUGGGACUGAGACACGGCCCAGACUCCUACGGGAGCCAGCAGUGGGGAAUCUUCGGCAAUGGACGAAAGGCUGACCAAGCAACGCCGCGUGAUUGAAGAAGGUUUUCGGAUUGUAAAGCUCUGUUGUUAGAGAAGCGGUAUCUAACCAGGAAGCCACGGCUAACUACGUGCCAGCAGCCGCGGUAAUUC
rnacentral:rRNA from 1 species